rnacentral:ncRNA from 1 species
GGCCGCAAGCCCGUCGGCUGUCGGCGGAUUGCUCAAGCUGCUCACGCGACGAGAGCGGGUCGCCGCAUGUCGGCCGGGGGACGGACCGGGAAUCGCCCUUCGGGGGCUUUCCUCGAGCAUGAAACGGUCGACUCAUAACUGGUACAGACAAAGGGAAUCCGACUGUUUAAUUAAAACAAAGCAUUGCGAUAGUCCUCCCAGAUGCUGACGCAAUGUAAUUUCUGUCCAGUGCUCUGAAUGUCAAAGUAAAAAAAAUCCAACCAAGCAUGGGUAAACGGGAAUUAUUCAUAUAUUUAUCAUAUUUACGAAUUAUAAAAAUGUUGUAUCAUUUAAAAUAACACAAUUAUAUCCAAAAUUACAAUUA